rnacentral:rRNA from 1 species
UGGGGAAUCUUGCGCAAUGGGCGAAAGCCUGACGCAGCAACGCCGCGUGCGGGAUGAAGGCCUUCGGGUUGUAAACCGCUUUCAGCAGGGACGAAAAUGACUGUACCUGCAGAAGAAGCCCCGGCUAACUACGUGCCAGCAGCCGCGGUAAUACGUAGGGGGCAAGCGUUAUCCGGAUUCAUUGGGCGUAAAGCGCGCGUAGGCGGCUUGUUAAGCGAGAUGUGAAAACCGGGGGCUCAACCCGCGGCCUGCAUCUCGAACUGGCAGGCUUGAGUCUGGUAGAGGAAAGUGGAAUUCCCAGUGUAGCGGUGAAAUGCGCAGAUAUUGGGAGGAACACCAGUGGCGAAGGCGGCUUUCUGGGCCACGACUGACGCUGAGGCGCGAAAGCUAGGGGAGCGAACAGG